CCCCCCUUAGAGUUUGAUCCUGGCUCAGGAUGAACGCUGGCGGUAUGCUUAACACAUGCAAGUCGAACGAAAGUUUUUAACUUUAAUGGCGAACGGGUGCGUAAUACGUGAGAAUCUGCCCUUUGGAGGAGUAUGACUGCUGGAAACGGCUGCUAAUGCUCCAUAUGUCAAGAGAUGAAAUUAUUUAUUGCCUAAGGAUGAGCUCGCCCCUGAUUAGCUAUUUGGUGAGGUAAUGGCUCCCCAAGGCCACGAUCAAUAACUGGGUUGAAAGAACUAUCAUCCCCACUGGGACUGAGACCCGGACCAGACUCCUCCGGGCGGCAGGACUGAGGAAUUUUCCCCACUGGUUGAAAGGCUGACGGAGCAGUAUCUCGCGAGGGAUGAGGGAUUUUGGUAAGGAUUGCUCUUUUUGUGAACUUAACCCCUGAUGGCACUUGAGGAUUAAGCGUCAGCUAGCUCCGUGCGUUUAUACCUUCGGAAACGAGGGGAUGCCUGCGUUAACCGGAAUCGUAGGCCUGCCCGCGCCUGGAGGUUGUCGUAUGGUGCUGUUGUGAAAACCAUGGUUCAUCCCUAGGGCACCAAUGCAAACUUUUAGACUAAUGUAUGGCCCGUGUCUCCGGAAAUGACAUUGUUGCGUUGAGAUGCAUUUAUAUCAUAAAGAGGACAGCGUGUAUCCAGCGCUAUAGUGAAACUUUAAGGAUACUCAGAGGCGAAAGCUAGGGUAGCAAAAGGGAUUAGAUACCCCCGUAGUCCUAGCCGUAAACGAUGGAUGCUAGAUGUUGUAUGUUAUUUACAGUAUCGUAGCUAACGCGUUAAGUAUCCCGCCUGGGGAGUACGCUUGCAAGGGUGAAACUCAAAGGAAUUGACGGGGGCCCGCACAAGCGGUGGAGCAUGUGGUUUAAUUCGAUGCAACGCGAAGAACCUUGCCAGGGCUUGACAUACUACAGAUUUUUUUGAGAGAGAGAAGUGCCUUCGGGAAUGUAGAUACAGGUGGUGCAUGGCUGUCGUCAGCUCGUGUCGUGAGAUGUUGGGUUAAGUCCCGCAACGAGCGCAACCCUUAUUUUUAGUUACCAAUUCGUUGGGUUCUCUAGAAAGACUGCCGGUGACAAACCGGAGGAAGGUGAGGAUGACGUCAAGUCAGCAUGCCCCUUAUGUCCUGGGCUACACACGUGCUACAAUGGCUAAGACAAAGAGUUGCGAGCUCGCGAGAGUAAGCUAAUCUCAUAAACUUAGCCUAAGUUCAGAUUGUAGGCGGCAACUCGCCUACAUGAAGUUGGAAUCGUUAGUAAUCGCUGGUCAGCCAUACAGCGGUGAAUCCGUUCCCGGGCCUUGUACACACCGCCCGUCACCCCACGGGAGGUGGUCAUACCCGAAACCGUUAGUUUAACCAUUCGGAGAGCGACGUCUAAGGUAGGGCUAGUGACUGGGGUGAAGUCGUAACAAGGUAACC
rnacentral:rRNA from 1 species